rnacentral:rRNA from 1 species
GCAAGUCGAGCGGAUGGAUAGGAGCUUGCUCCCAUGAGUCUAGCGGCGGACGGGUGAGUAACACUUGGGAAACCUGCCCAUAAUGCUGGAUUACCUCCGGAAACCCGGGGUUAAUACCCAUUAAACCUUUGGACCAAAGGGGGCAAUUUUCUGCUCUCGCUUCUGCUGGAACCUAAGUCUGAUCCCCCGUCUGGUGAGCUAAAUGGUGAGGUAACGGAUCAUCUGUGCAUGGAUGCAUAGGCUAACUGACCGGGUGAUCACUGACACUGGGACUGAAAUCCUGCCCAAAGUCCUACUGGAGAAUAUUGUACGGAGUCUUGAACCCUGGACCAAAGUUGGACGGAGCGUGAACACGGGCUUUAGGAUGGCUUUCAGUUCAUACAACUCUGAUGAUCUGGAAGAACAUAUGCUAUAUCAAUAACCUGGCCCCUUGACUGUACCUCACCUAAAUCUGUGCCAUAACUACCUGCCAUCCACC